rnacentral:rRNA from 2 species
AAAGUGGAGCAAUCCAUUAGUAGAGUGGCAAACGGGUGAGUAACACGUGGGCGACCUACCUCAGAGUGGGGGAUAACCUUCCGAAAGGAGGGCUAAUACCGCAUGACAUCCCGUGUUUGGAUACACGGAGAUCAAAGCCGGGGGAUCGCAAGACCUGGCGCUUGGAGAGGGGCCCGCGUCCGAUUAGCUAGUUGGUGAGGUAACGGCUCACCAAGGCUCCGAUCGGUAUCCGGCCUGAGAGGGCGGACGGACACACUGGAACUGAGACACGGUCCAGACUCC